rnacentral:tRNA from 1 species
UUUAAUGUAGCAUAAAAUAAUGCAAAGAGUUUAAGCCUCUUAGAUUUUCAUUUAAA